CACACAAUUCAGCCGCAACAAAAAAAUGAAACAAAAGACCUAGAAUAUAGGAACCUACAGCCACCAUAACCAAAACACAAAAAUAUGAGCCACAGGAGCACUUUCUUUUUAAUUUUUAGUAGCUAAAAACUUGUACUCAAGAACCAUAAUCAAACUAAGAAACUCAUUACACCAAAAAAAACCUAUAAGCAACUAGACUGUACAGAUUAAACAGCUGCCAUCCACACAAAGAACGUAACGUAUCUAGAUUAACAGCAACGCACAGCUCAUCGUCCUCACUAUUUUCAAUCAAAACCAUGCAUUAAACAUCAAUCUCCUUCCGCAAAAACUAUAACAAUAGCCAUUCGAAUAGUUAAAAUAGGAAACCGAAUCUACCUGCAAUGUUUGAUUUUGAAAUAGAGAGUCCGACGGUGGUUUCGAGGUUUUCCGUGAGUUUUCUAGUUAAGCUCCGGUCGAAGUUUCUUGUUUAGUCGAGUUGGGCUAUCUCUCAUUUCAAGUUGCUGUACUUAUCCUUGAGAUUCAUUAAUUAAAAAAAAGAAGCUUUACUCUAAGUGCAGCUUUUGAGCCCGAGACAUCUUCCAAACCUCGCAUCUAGUAGAGGUUAUUCGUUACCAAGAUCAUAGGGUGAGCUCCUAUCCGUGCCAUGCCAUCCGAAGAUCUUUCUUAAUUUCAGAUGUCUAUUUUCAUCCCAGACAUUAUGUUCAUUUUAGACAGUUAUCUCUUCUCUUUAGACAAUUUUGGUUAGAGUCCUUGUACGAUGACUUUCGGAUUUUGGGAAUGUAAUAGCUAGAUUUUCCACACUUGUUA